CCUACGGGAGGCAGCAGUGGGGAAUUUUGGACAAUGGGCGCAAGCCUGAUCCAGCCAUGCCGCGUGUGGGAAGAAGGCCUUCGGGUUGUAAAUCACUUUUGUCAGGGAAGAAACGGUCUUUUCUAAUACAAGGGGCUAAUGACGGUACCUGAAGAAUAAGCACCGGCUAACUACGUGCCAGCAGCCGCGGUAAUACGUAGGGUGCAAGCGUUAAUCGGAAUUACUGGGCGUAAAGCGUGCGCAGGCGGCUUUGCAAGACAGAUGUGAAAUCCCCGGGCUCAACCUGGGAACUGCAUUUGUGACUGCAUGGCUAGAGUGCGGCAGAGGGGGAUGGAAUUCCGCGUGUAGCAGUGAAAUGCGUAGAUAUGCGGAGGAACACCGAUGGCGAAGGCAAUCCCCUGGGCCUGCACUGACGCUCAUGCACGAAAGCGUGGGGAGCAAACAGGAUUAGAUACCCUGGUAGUCCACGCCCUAAACGAUGUCAACUGGUUGUUGGACGGCUUGCUGUUCAGUAACGAAGCUAACGCGUGAAGUUGACCGCCUGGGGAGUACGGCCGCAAGGUUGAAACUCAAAUGAAUUGACGG
rnacentral:rRNA from 1 species